CUAUGGUAUCCGGGUGGAAUCUCUUUCUUUCAUCUUCAUUUAUCGUCUGAAAAUCUUCCAUCCUCCGGGUUUCGAAAAUUCGAACCCUAAUUCCGAUUCUCUCAACCUCUGUUAACUGAUCCGAUCGUCAACGGCUUAGGUUUUUCUGCUUGUUUGUCAUCGUUCCUUUUCAAUUUUUGAUCUAUUUGCGCUCGUCUUAUAAUCUGCGCGAAUUUCCUUGAAGGUUUUAGUUUCUACCGUAGAUUGAGAUCUUAACGAAUUUCUUCCUUUUUCAUGAAUGAUUUUCCGCUCAUUUGUCCAUUUUCUUGUUUCGAAUGAUUUCAAAUGCAUCUGUUUACCCUCUCCUCGGUAUCUGUAUGAAAAUCGAGGGGAUAAAACAGGUGCAGACAUCGAAAGGUUGGCUUACCAGCCCAUUUCAUAUUUGAUCUUUGUCCUGGAGUCAAAUGGACCUACCGAAAUAUCGGCCACCAUGUUCAUCGCUUAUUUGGCCUUAUUUGUUUCCUUCCAGAUUUAUUUUCUGAAUAUUUUUCUGUUGUUAUGGCAUAUGAUGAAUGACUUCUUUUCCGCUUAUUGAUAUACUGAUGUUCAGUGCUGACUCAAAACUCCGCUUAUUAUCUGAUGCCAUUACAACUGCUCAUCCUAUCUCUGUUUUCCUUUUUCUUUUUCCCGCAUAAUUUACAUUUUCAUGUGAUUUUCUUCUGUUUCUUCGAAAUCAGGUUUAUUUUAAUUUGAUUAGUGUUUUCAGUAGUUUUAUAUCAAGUAAAGGCAGGCAAAUGAUGUAGACAAAUUCUUAUCCUACACACUGAAGUAAAUGUAGAUUACUACUCCGCUUAUUAUCUGAUGCCUUGCUUAAUCGUAAAAGAAAUUUCAGUUUUCGAAAUUUUAGUUUAAUCUACUGUCUCGCAUCAAAUAUUGGAUUGUACCUUCCGAUGAGGAGAAAAAAGCAGACGGGCGGUCUGAAUCUGAUGCCGUGUUGAUUGUCUGCAACUCCCAUCUUCUUGGGUUCCUGAGGGUUCAAAUCACUUAGCUAACAGAUGGGAAUUUGAUACGAGAAUCAUGAGACGGGAUGGAAAUGAACUUCAUGGGGCAAUUACCCCGUUAUUGAUUACCCUUAAUAUAAAUAAAUCCGGUGCACGUUAAAUUAA